GAUAUCAACUUAAAAAGUCAUCAACAACAAAGUUGAAUAACUCAUCAAGAUCUAAAACUUUUAUUUUGGCCAUUUCUUCAUACGACAAACUGAUAGUAACAUUGUUCACAAAAUUGACAUAUCUCUUAUCUGGUUUUAUAAACUAUAACACAUAUAUGUAAAAUUUGUGAAUAAUAUUACUAACAUUUCGUCGGAUGAAGAAAUAACAAAAGUAAAAGUUUUAGAUCUUGAUGAGUUAUUCAACUUUGCUGUUGAUGACUUUUUCAAUUGAAAUC
rfam:Oryza glumipatula chromosome 2, whole genome shotgun sequence.